rnacentral:rRNA from 1 species
GGGUGAGUAAUGCCUAGGAAUCUGCCUGGUAGUGUGGGAUAACGCUCGGAAACGGACGCUAAUACCGCAUACGUCCUACGGGAGAAAGCAUGGGACCUUCGGGCCUUGCGCUAUCAGAUGAGCCUAGGUCGGAUUAGCUAGUUGGUGAGGUAAUGGCUCACCAAGGCGACGAUCCGUAACUGGUCUGAGAGGAUGAUCAGUCACACUGGAACUGAGACACGGUCCAGACUCCUACGGGAGGCAGCAGUGGGGAAUAUUGGACAAUGGGCGAAAGCCUGAUCCAGCCAUGCCGCGUGUGUGAAGAAGGUCUUCGGAUUGUAAAGCACUUUAAGUUGGGAGGAAGGGCAGUUACCUAAUACGUAAUUGUUUUGACGUUACCGCCAGCAUAAGCACCGGCUAACUCUGUGCCAGCAGCCGCGGUAAUACAGAGGGUGCAAGCGUGAAUCGGAAUUACUGGGCGUAAAGCGAGCGUAGGUGGUUCGUUAAGUUGGAUGUGAAAUCCCCGGGCUCAACCUGGGAACUGCAUUCAAAACUGACGAGCUAGAGUAUGGUAGAGGGUGGUGGAAUUUCCUGUGUAGCGGUGAAAUGCGUAGAUAUAGGAAGGAACACCAGUGGCGAAGGCGACCACCUGGACUUAUACUGACACUGAGGUGCGAAAGCGUGGGGAGCA